rnacentral:rRNA from 1 species
AACGAACGCUGGCGGCAUGCCUAACACAUGCAAGUCGAACGAGACCUUCGGGUCUAGUGGCGCACGGGUGCGUAACGCGUGGGAACCUGCCCUUAGGUUCGGAAUAACUCCCCGAAAGGGGUGCUAAUACCGGAUAAUGUCUUCGGACCAAAGAUUUAUCGCCUUUGGAUGGGCCCGCGUUGGAUUAGCUAGUUGGUAGGGUAAAAGCCUACCAAGGCGACGAUCCAUAGCUGGUCUGAGAGGAUGAUCAGCCACACUGGGACUGAGACACGGCCCAGACUCCUACGGGAAGCAGCAGUGGGGAAUAUUGGACAAUGGGCGAAAGCCUGAUCUAGCAAUGCCGCGUGAGUGAUGAAGGCCUUAGGGUUGUAAAGCUCUUUUACCCGGGAUGAUAAUGACAGUACCGGGAGAAUAAGCUCCGGCUAACUCCGUG